rnacentral:rRNA from 1 species
UACGGGGGGAGCAAGCGUUGUUCGGAUUUACUGGGCGUAAAGGGCGCGUAGGCGGUCAGCACAAGUCAGUUGUGAAAUCUCCGGGCUUAACUCGGAAAGGUCAACUGAUACUGUGCGACUAGAGUGCUGAAGGGGCAACUGGAAUUCUCGGUGUAGCGGUGAAAUGCGUAGAUAUCGAGAGGAACACCUGCGGCGAAGGCGGGUUGCUGGGCCGACACUGACGCUGAUGCGCGAAAGCCAGGGGAGCGAACGGG